rnacentral:rRNA from 1 species
UACGUAGGGUGCAAGCGUUGUCCGGAAUUAUUGGGCGUAAAGCGCGCGCAGGCGGUCCUUUAAGUCUGAUGUGAAAGCCCACGGCUCAACCGUGGAGGGUCAUUGGAAACUGGGGGACUUGAGUGCAGGAGAGAAGAGUGGAAUUCCACGUGUAGCGGUGAAAUGCGUAGAGAUGCGGAGGAACACCGAUGGCGAAGGCAGCCCCCUGGGUCGACACUGACGCUCAGGCACGAAAGCGUGGGGAGCAAACAGG